AAAAAAAGGCCCAUGGAUGCUUGAAAUUGACCAUUCAGUGGAGAACAAGCAUGGAAAGUACCAGGCCCUCAAAGGGGUUUCAGAAAUUCACCUCCGACAUUGUUUAAUUUACUGAUCAUUUCCAUUUCACUGAGACAAGAGAGGAAGGCGAAGAAACAAGGUGUUAAAUAACGCAUCACUGGCAAAAGGCUUAUGAGCAUCUGGUUUUCCAACUCUUGUUAAUUUGAUGAAUACGGUGGAACAUGAAUGUUGGCAUCCCCCUUGGAGUAACAGACGGUUUAUGCACUUGAGAAGAGGCGUUGGAUUAUGAAGGUGUCUUGAGAAGCAAUGGCCACAGUAGCACCUCUGAACAUAGCACCAUCUGAAUGCAACACCACUUUGGGCACUGCAGAAGCUUUCAUUUGGAGGUCAAACACCAUCAAUAUGCAUGUUACCCGGCCGAAAUCUGCCAAGGGACGUACAAGAUCAAGCUUGAAUUACUCCCAUAGUGUGGAGGCCUAUUCUUAUAGAGUGCCAUCCUCCCCUCAGCCAGCAGCUCCCUAUGAAGCAGCAAGCAAUCAAAGAGCAUCAUCUACCAAACCAUCUUAUCAGCCUGGGCAGGUGUCUCCUGAUGAAAUCCCAGAGCUCCUCCAACAAGUACCCUUGAGGACCUCCUCUUCCCUAAAUAAGUACAGAGUGCUCCCGUCCAUCAGCAGGAAGGGCUUGGGGAAGAGUGCUGUGGAAACAGUGAUCGAACAGACCAACAAACUGAAAAUGAGUAGUAGACAGGAGGAGGAGCAACCAUCCAAAGCUCUUCCUGGAGAGGGAAAAUCCACUGGUAUAAUGACAGAGAAUGAAGGGGCUAGAGGGGAAUACUCAAAAGUCCAACCUCCCAUUUCUGAGAAGAAGCCGUUAAGGAAAACAAGAGAAGAAAGCUCUUCCUCAUCAGUUUUAAACCAGGAGGAGCCACUGAAGAAAGAACCAAGACUGCUGCUUGCCGUUAGGUCUCCUUCUGGUCAAAGAUUUGAACAUCACUUCAGGCCUACAGACAGCCUUCAGACGGUCCUUGCUGUGGCAGAACAAAAGCACACAACCAAAUACAAACACUGUCGUGUUGAAACGAUGGAAGUGCCUAGGAGGAGCUUUCCUGACCUUACAAAGUCCCUGCAAGAGUGCGGGAUCCCACACAAGUCAGUGUUGUGCAUUCUCCAGGAAGUGCAAGAUGGAGAUCUCUAAAUGUACAGUGAUGUUACACAACUUCCAUCACCCCUUAGCAUGUAACUCUAUUGGAUGCCAUGGACUUCCCUUUGAUGAGUGGUCUAAGAACUGAACCAGCCUGAUCUGUUUCAGUGGUCUACUUCUUAGUCCCACUGUCUUCCAAGCGCUUCCCUUGAAGUAGACUUGUAUAUAAAUGGAGUGUGCUGAAAUACUUCUUAAUUAUUUUAAAGUGUAUGUACACACCACAUUAAGAGUAUCUAUUUUUUCCAUGUGUACAAUCACAAUUCACUUUAAGAGUGGGCAUCAGCUUCUGGGCUUUGUAAUAUUUCUAAAUAGUUUUAAAAAGAGUUUCUAUUCCUCUGGGAAGACCCACUUUUCUGAUGCCCUCUCUUCUGGUGGUGGGAGGCCUGUCUCGUCUUCUCUGUUUUUGCUCCAGGAACGCACCACUUCCCCAAAUGAAGUCUGAGUCAGGAUCAUACAUGGAGCUGGGAAGACACAAGCAGCACUAUUUUGAUUCCUUAAAGCUAUAGGAAUGGCCUUCAUAAUAAAGUAGCUUGUUGGCUGCAAGAACAGCUACAAUGGUCAAUACACAGAAAAUGGUCUCAAAGCAGUAACUCAAACAGUUGGUGAGAGUAAAUAUGUUGCUGGGAUGUGUUAAAAGUACAAGGUCAAGGGUAAAGUACAUUCAAGAAUCAAACCAUUCCUAUAUAAUCUCAGUGUUUUGAGUACGCCUGCUUUGUCUUCUCAUAAAAGGAAAGUCAUGGUUAAGGUGGUCUGAUUCCUCUAUGGAUACAAAGAGGACUUUUUUUUAAACUCAUUAGCUUUCUUUCUUCAGCAAGUGCGUAAGAUUGUGAUGCACACCUGUAAAUCAGGAAAUCCAGAGCUAAGGGUGGAUUGUCUGCUGUAACUUUGAAUUUCAGUGCUGUUUGCUACUGCAAUUUAACGUUUUUAAAUUGAACUGCAUUAAGCUGAGCAAUUACCUGUUGCUUUUGUGUUUUGGCUAAAUACAUAAAGGAAGUGUUCUGCUGGGGCUGUUAUCUUCCGAAUAGACUGUGCCUCAAACUAUUGGGACUCUUCUAGAGCUAUUUAUUUUCUAUAGUUCAGAAAAAUCAACCUGUUCGAGUAGAAUGGCUUGGCCCUGUGGUUUUGUAUUAACGCAGCUGCUGUGCGUGUGCUAAAAAGCCUCACAUUUUUUAGUGGAAAACCUUCCUGUACACGUGCAGUCGCUGAGUUUGAACACCCAGUAUAAUAAAAGAAUGGAUCAGGCUACCUGACUGGCCUUUUUGCCAAAUAAUAGGCUCCUUUUGAGUAUUACAGGUGAAACAAAUGCAGUGUUUUUGCCUCUCUGUAAUGGCCAAACCAACCUUUUGUAAUAUUGCUCUUUACUGUGAUCAUAUAUGCUGAAUUUCAGUCAAAAGCAAAUAUUCAUAGGCCAGCAAUUAAGCCCCAUAGAACAAGACAGCUGCUGAAAUACUAGCACUACCUGAUGCUGCAAGUGGUGACACUGGUCUGUUGACUUCAACAGCAGCAUUUAGAGGACUACACUAAGCUAGAAGCAUUCUCAACUGCCUUCGGGGGUAUAACUGUAUCAGAGGUUUCUAAUGAGGAUUACAACUAUGUGAUCUGGGAACAUGGUAAAAAGAAUGUUUCACUAUGAAAAUUGCCAAGAGCAAUGGGAAGAACGAACUAACUAUAUGAUUAAUUUUUUACAUGGAAGAAUACAGCCUAUUCUUCUGCUCUGAACUUAGCAUUGGCUGUUCGUGAGAGAUGGCUGGUUCAAGUGGCAGAAUGGAGUGUAGUGUUGUUGGCCAGCACACCGCAGCAUAGAAGAGCCCGCUAAUGCUAAAGAAUGCAAACCACCUCCAUAAGCAAAGUGUUCA